UGAGGGGGGACUGCCCUGGGCCAAGGUGAUUGUUAGAACUCCUGGGACACGUCAGUUCUUCGCUAUUAGAACUCACAGCAAAGGAACUGAGAACUGCUAGAAACGCCAGAAAACAAAAAUCCUAACUGCAACAUGUAAUAAACUUGUUUGGCAAACACAUUCUUAAAAUACCAUAAAA